UACGUAGGUGGCAAGCGUUGUCCGGAAUCAUUGGGCGUAAAGCGCGUGUAGGCGGCCCGGAAAGUCUGGUGUGAAAACCUGAGGCUCAACCUCAGGCUGUCACUGGAUACUGUCGGGCUUGAAUCCGGAAGAGGAGAACGGAAUUCCUGGUAUAGCGGUGGAAUGCGCAGAUAUCAGGAGGAACACCAAUGGCGAAGGCAGUUCUCUGGUACGUGAUUGACGCUGAGACGCGAAAGCGUGGGGAGCAAACAGG
rnacentral:misc_RNA from 1 species